UGAGUACGAGCUGCUACGGCAGCGAAGUGGGUGAUGUCAAGCUUCCAAGAAAAGCCCUAUACCCGUUAAGGCAUGACGGCCUGUACCCGAAACCGACACAGGUGGGGUGGUAGAGAAUACCGAGGGGCGCGAGGUAACUCUCUCUAAGGAACUCGGCAAAAUGGCCCCGUAACUUCGGGAGAAGGGGUGCCACCGCAAGGUGGUCGCAGUGAAGAGGCCCAGGCGACUGUUUACCAAAAACACAGGUCUCCGCUAAGUCGCAAGACGAUGUAUGGGGGCUGACGCCUGCCCAGUGCCGGAAGGUUAAGGAAGCUGGUCAGCGUAAGCGAAGCUGGCGACUGAAGCCCCGGUGAACGGCGGCCGUAAUUAUAACGGUCCUAAGGUAGCGAAAUUCCUUGUCGGGUAAGUUCCGACCCGCACGAAAGGCGUAACGAUCUGGGCGCUGUCUCGGAGAGAGGCUCCGCGAAAUAGAAUUGUCUGUGAAGAUGCGGACUACGUGCACCCGGACAGAAAGACCCUAUGAAGCUUUACUGUAGCUUGGUAUUGUGCCCGGGCUCUGAAUGCGCAGGAUAGGUGGGAGGCUUUGAUCCAUUGCUUGUGGGUGAUGGUGAGCCAACGGUGAGAUACCACUCUUUCAGAGCUAGGGUUCUAACGGUCACCCGUCAUCCGGGGACCGGACAGUAUCAGGUGGGCAGUUUGACUGGGGCGGUCGCCUCCUAAAAGGUAACGGAGGCGCGCAAAGGUUCCCUCAGGCUGGUUGGAAAUCAGCCGACGAGUGUAAAGGCAGAAGGGAGCUUGACUGUGAGACCUACAAGUCGAACAGGGACGAAAGUCGGCCUUAGUGAUCCGACGGUUCUGUGUGGAAGGGCCGUCGCUCAACGGAUAAAAGUUACUCUAAGGAUAACAGGCUGAUCUCCCCCAAGAGUUCACAUCGACGGGGAGGUUUGUCACCUCGUCGGCUCAUCGCAACCUGGGGCUGAAGUCGGUCCCAAGGGUUGGGCUGUUCGCCCAUUAAAGCGGUACGCGAGCUGGGUUCAGAACGUCGUAAGACAGUUCGGUCCAUAUCCGGUGCAUGCGCAGGAAUAUUGAGAGGAUUUCUCCCUAGUACGAGAGGACCGGGAGGAACGCACCUCUGGUGUGCCAGUUACCGUGCCAACGGUAAACGCUGGGUAGCCAUGUGCGGAGAGGAUAACCGCUGAAAGCAUCUAAGUGGGAAGCCCACCUCAAGAUGAGUAUUCCCAUGGCGUUAGCCAGUAAGGUCACGGGAAGAACACCCGUUGAUAGGCUCUACGUGGAAGCCGGGUAACCGGUGAAGCGGAGGAGUACUAAUAGACCGAGGGCUUGACC
rnacentral:rRNA from 1 species